rnacentral:tRNA from 1 species
AUUUUAUUAGUAUAUAUAUAAAUUACAUUUAAUUUCCAAUUAAAAAAAAAAAUAAACCCUUAUAAAAUA